CAGUAACCAGCAUGAGUAUUUUCAAGAUCAGGAUGAACCUGGACUGAGAGAACAAAGAUGACUAAGGUCGGCAUAGCAUGAAGCUCAUUGCAUAAGUUGCUUUUAUCAUCAGUCACUGACAAAAUGCUCAAUAAGAAUAUUCAAGAAAGUUCUGAAGCCUGCUGUAAAGCAAACAACUUUAGACAGAAGAACAUGGACUCACAAUUUAUCAUGCCUUCUUCAGAAGAUACUUCUUAGGUAGAAGAUAGCAAGAAGGAGUAGAGUAAAAAUGCAUCAGAAGCAGGAAAGGUGUUGAAGAGUUG
rnacentral:lncRNA from 1 species